rnacentral:rRNA from 1 species
AUUGAACGCUGGCGGCAUGCUUUACACAUGCAAGUCGAACGGUAACGGGUUAAGCUGACGAGUGGCGAACGGGUGAGUAAUGCAUCGGAACGUGCCCAAUCGUGGGGGAUAACGCAGCGAAAGCUGCGCUAAUACCGCAUACGAUCUGAGGAUGAAAGCGGGGGACCGUAAGGCCUCGCGCGAUCGGAGCGGCCGAUGUCAGAUUAGGUAGUUGGUGGGGUAAAGGCCCACCAAGCCGACGAUCUGUAGCUGGUCUGAGAGGACGACCAGCCACACUGGGACUGAGACACGGCCCAGACUCCUACGGGAGGCAGCAGUGGGGAGUUUUGGACAAUGGGCGAAAGCCUGAUCCAGCAAUGCCGCGUGCAGGAAGAAGGCCUUCGGGUUGUAAACUGCUUUUGUACGGAGCGAAAAGGUCCUUUCUAAUACAGGGGGCUCAUGACGGUACCGUAAGAAUAAGCACCGGCUAACUACGUGCCAGCCGCCGCCGUAA